ensembl:lincRNA
GGCGGGGCCCCCGGCGUCUGCGCACGCGCGAGGGAGGGGGCGGGGAGAUGGGCGGAGUCUACAACCCCAGGCGCCGGAAAGCCGCCGCCCAUCCAGGGGCAAAGAUGCUUGCAUUCUGCAAACGGCUCUUCGAAGCCUGGUGCUUGAAGGGCUGUACAGUACACAGGAGAAGCCAUGACCUCCAGGGACUGUUUUCAGAGCAAUUAAGUAGCACUCAUAUGAGAUCAAGAUCCAGCCCUGUGAACUAUGUCUCCUUGGAGUGUGUCUUUUCCUUUUGAGGUAUUGCAUCGUGUAGACUCCCAUCAUCCUCUGCAGGCACAGGCUGGUUAGGGAGAUACUCCACUCAACAUGCUGCUGCUUAGAACAGACUCCCUCUGUUUGCCACUGAAGCUGCCUGCAUUUGUGUUUCUUUCCUGGAGGCCAAGAAAGCCCACUGCUGGGUCACAGAACCUCUUUUGGUUUUUGUUCUGUGUGCUUCUGUAUUGUUGGAAUCCUGCUACUUUUGUGAUUACGGGAAAAAAUUUCAUAAAAAAAUAGAAAGAGGUAGGUAGAGUGUUGGCUCCUAAAAAGUGAGGGUGCCUGAUGGUUGUCAGAUGAUCGUUAUGUAACCUGCUAAUCAUUAUGUAAUGAAGUCUGGGUACCAAGCACAGAAGUCACAAGUCUUUAUUUGUGUAAAGGAGGAGAAAUGUGCCUGUCUUGAAACCUUGGGUCUUUUCUGACAGGAAAUGUCAUAUGUUUCCAUCAUCAGGGCUUGCCUCUUGGCUGUCACAGAACCACAGAGGUGGAAGGGACUUUCUUAAAGGCUCACGUGAAAAUGCAAGCUUGAUACACUUGCUGACAGUUUUUUUUUUUUUUUGCAGAUUUUUUUAUUUGAAUUAGAAACAAGAUUGUUUUACAUGACAAUCCCAGUUCCCUUCUCCCUUCCGUCCUCCCCUACCACCACCCCCAACUAAAACCCUACCUAUCACAUAUCCUUUCUGCUCCUCUUGGAUGGUGAGGCCUUCCAUAGGGUGUCAUCAGAGUCUAUUGUAUCCUUUGGGAUAGGGCCUAGGCCCACCCCAUGUGUCUUGGCUCAGGGAGUAUCCCUCUAUGUGGAAUGGGCUCCCAAAGUCCACACCUGUUCUAGGGAUAAGUACUGAUCUACUACAGGAGGUCCCGUAGAUUUCUGAGGUUUCCUCACUGAAACCCAUGUUCCUGGGGUCUGGAUCAGUCCCAUGCUGGUGUCCCAGCUAUCAGUCUGGGGACCAAGAGUUCCCCGAUGUUCAGGUCAGCUGUUUCUGUGGGUUUCACCAGCCUGGUCUGGACCCCUUUGCUCUUCACUCAUUCUUCUCUGCAUCUGGAUUCCAGUUCAUCCAGUGAUUAGUUGUGGGUGUCUGCUUCUACUUCCACCAGCUGCUGGAUGAAGGCUAUCGGGUGGCAUAUAAGUCAGUCAUCAGUCUCAUUAUCAGGGGAGGGGUUGACAGGGCUUUUCCCCCCUUUCCUUAUUUAGGGGAUUGAGACAGGGUCUUGUGUAGCUCCGCUGGUCUCAACUUACUAUUAGGCAAGGAUGGCCUUCAAUUCCUGAUUCUCCUGCCUCUAUCUCCUGAGUUCUGAGAUUACAGACAUGUACUACCACUCCUGGCUUGAAAAGAUUUAUUUUUAUUUUUUAAUUAUGUGUAUAUGUUUGCCUUGUGAGUGCAGGUGCUCUCAGAGGUGAAAGAGCAAGGUGUGGUGAUGCACACCUUUAAUCCCAGCACUCGAGAUGCAGAGGCAGGUGGAUCUCUGUUAGUAUGGGGCUAGCCUGGUCUACAUAGUGAGUUCCAGGACAGUCAAGGCUCCACAUCAAGAUUGUCUGGGGGGGAACCCCAAAAAUUCCAGCCAAUGGAAAACAAUGCUCCAUGCCUUACAUUUGCAUCUGGCACUUGUCAAACUCUAGGGAUUCUGGGGCAAACCAAGCCCUGCCCCCCUCUCUAAGUCUAAAAAUUUCUUUUAUAUAUAUGAUUUUUUUUUUUGCCUGAAUGUAUGACUGGGCACCACAUGUGUGAAUGCCCUCUCAGAAGCCAGAAGAAGGUGUCUAAUUCCCUGUGAUUGGCAUGAUGUUCUGGGGAACUGAACUCAGGCCCUCGAGCAGCCAAUCCCUUAAAGGCUGAGCCAUCUCUCCAGCACAGCCCCCUGAAGUUCACCUCUCAGGGAGCUCCCAGUCAAUGUGGCAAACAGGAGUUUAGAGAAACCUAUGAAAAGUCAAGUGGCAAGCUGUCAGGGCAUAGCCAGUGUAGACUGUGCAGGUCCUAAGCAAAAUGGGAGGACUGCACUUGCCCCUCUGGUUUCCAUGGUUACAGAACUGCGGGAAGAAAGAAGCCAGCUUUAUUCAGGAGACAGAGACAGGCUGAGCUCCACAAUUUGAGAGUAGUAUGGGCUACCUGUCUCAAACAACUCCCUUAGGUCUUAGUCUGUGCUCACUAUCCGGUUCUGUGUAGUUCAUUCUGACUACAUCUCACUAGGCGGCUGCUAUUAUUAAAUUAUAAAUAAUAUAUAUAAAUAUAAAUAAUAACAAUAUAAUAUUAAAUUAUAAAUAAAUUAUACUGUUAUUAUUAUUGCUUUUAAAAGAUAUGAUAAUGAGGCUCAGAUAAUAAUAUGAUAAUGAGGCUCAGAGGCUAAGCAGCUUGUUCAAGGUCACUCUGCUAGUAACCAGUUAAAGUUAACACUAGGACCCUCCCCGCCCUGUUUUUUCAUUGUGGGGAACUGAACCCAGGGAGUACACACCGGCUAGGCAAGGGUUCUAGGAAUGGGGUGCAGCCAUAGCCUUCUAUUACUUUCUUUUUUAAGGCAGGGGCUCGCUAAAUUGUUCAUGUUAGCCUUAAACUCACACUCCUCCUGACUCAGUCUUCGGAAUAGUUGGGAAUUAAUGGGAAUGAUGUUCUGUGUUGCUUGCCUAUAUGUAUGUGCAUCUCGUGCGUGACUGAUCCCCGAGGUCAGAGAGGCCAUCAGAUCCCCUGGAACUGGUGUUAUGGAUGGUUGUGGGCUCCACGUGAGUGCUGGGAAUCGAACCGUGGUCCUCUGAAAGCAACAAGUGCUCCUAAACGCUGGGCCCUCUCCUGAGCCCCGUCACCCCCUCCGCAUCCUUCACCUCGGUCGCCAGGGGUAACGCCCACGGUCCUCUCCGCAGUCUCGCGUGACCUCCGCCUAUGCUGUGACUCUCCAGCCUCCGCGGUUUCGUCUCUGAAACGGGCUCUCAAGCCCCGUCCUGAGGAGGGGAAAGCCGGCCAGGCGGAAAAACCAAUCUCCCCGCUCUGGAGCCCGUUUCUAUGACAACCCGGCUAACCAGCAUCUGCGGGCGGAGCGCCGCUCGUCACUUCCAGCGCAUUUGCUUCCGGGUUCCGCUUGGGCCCCCUGGACGGCCCCUGAGGGGUGAGGCCGGGUUCCGCGGAGACGCGCUCCUCCCUCCUCCCGUCUCCCUCCGGCGGCCUCCUCCCCUCACCCC